rnacentral:lncRNA from 10 species
CCCACGGUGCCCCAUCAUCCUGCCUCAUUUUCCUCCCAGCACUUAAUCUUCUCUGAAAUAACCAUAUUCUUUGAUUGCUUUUGGUCCUGUGUUUUCCCAACACCGAGAAAGGCUCUCACAAUCUCUAGAUUUGCACAAAGGUGGGGCUUUCUCUGUUUUUAUUUGAUUUUUUGUUGUUUUAUUUUUUAAGUUUUGUUUUCUUUUUUGACUCCGCAAGGGUCUGGGCAGUGCCUGGCCCACAGUAGACUCCUAAGAAGUGUUCACUGAGGGGCAAUUAGGAGGUGCUUAGUGGCUGCACCAGACCUUCAGCAUCCUAGACCCCUGGCUCUGACACUUACUGCUUAAGAAUCACCAGGGCCACUUACUGAAAAUGUACAAUCCUGAGAGCCGGACUUACUAAGUCUGGGUUUGGACUUGGAAACAUGCAUUUUUAACAAGAUCUCCACUGGGUUCUGAUGCCAGUGUCCUGGAGGGGGCCACACUUCAUGAUAAGCUAUCAUCCCAACCCACUCAGGGAAUGGCAUGGAGUCCAGAAUUGCUAUUGGAACACUGCCCUCCUCGGAGGCUCCUGCCUGCUGGAGGCGUGGUGGCCUGAUGAUUGGCAUCACUCCUGUAGCUUGAGGGUCCAGAGUGUGGACUCACAUGGCGCUUCAGACCCUUCUCUGAAGCCUGACUCUUUGGGGGCAGUGCUGCAGAUUGACAAAGGGUGUUUCUGCACAGGCCUGACUCACACAACACUGGAAUGGGCCGGGAAGGAGCCUCCCGGCCAGACGCCCACUUUGGUACCAGCCCUGGGUUAUGUAACUCCAGAUGCCUGUGACUAACCCAUGGCCCCGAGGGCAUCUCUGGGUGGGGAAAAGAUGAGGGCUGACUUCUCCAGAAUUUAAAACGAAACAUCUCAGGACUAUUUAUAAAAGCACAGGACACACUAGGGGGAAGUUCAGAUAAAGGCCGUGGAGGGGUGCAGACAAGGAAAGGGAACCAGGAGGUGUACUUGCAAACUUGACCUACUAAAGGCAUGGCUUCCAGAGCUCUGAGGACAGUUGACCUUCAAAACAACGAUUGACCUUGGGGAAAGGAUGAGUCACAGAGGCUCCAGGGCCUGGUUCCUGCUGGCAGAGCUUCCAGCCUCUGAGUCCCAGAGUGUUCUCUCCUAGGAGUGAAACAUGUACUUGGUAGAUGUCGGCUGCCUCCACCAAAUGCAAAAACGCAUCUCAUCCUGUGAGCUGACCUUGCUGGGGUGAGGUCUACUUCUUGGGGAAGACCCUGGGCUGCUAACUGGGUCUUGGCUGGUCCUAGGUUUGUGGCAACCAGUAGUCACUGGAUCCAUCGAUGAGAAUAAAUCUUGUUGGCAUGUGGAGACAAGGCCAGGUAGAAGCAGAAGUCAGAGGGCCAGGAGGCAGGUAGGCCCCUGUCUCUAUGUUAACUCAUGCCAAGCCAUAAUGGCAGCUCACGUUGAUGGAGCUGUCCAUGUGCCAGCCCCUGCCUGAAGUGCCCGCAAUCAUCUCUCGCUUUUCUUCGAUAACGGAGUGAGAGGGAAGAGCACGGGGCUGAGAAUCAGGGGGCCCAGAUGGAAGACCCACUCACCGCUAAAUUGUUGGGGGGCCUGGGAUGACUUAUUACAAUAUUAAUAAUGACCACAGCAAUGACUACAGCCCCAUUCAUUGAGCACUCGGCACUCAUCAUCUCAUUAAGCCUUGUCCUGCAAUGCCAGAGGCUUUGGAAUCAGAGCUGGAGUUUUGGAAUCAGACAGAGCUGGAGUUCAAGGAAGAGCUCUGACACUUAUGAGCUAGCAACCUUGAACGCAUCAUUUAACCUUUAGGGGCUCAAAAACAGCCAUUGUUUAUUCAUCUCACAAAUAUGCAGUCUGGGCAAGGCUUGGCAGGAACAGCUUAUGUCUGACUUUAUGUGGUGUCAGCUAGGGUGGCUUGCAGAAAAGCUAGCAACCAAAAUCCCCGAAGGCUCACUCACUCACAGAUGAUGCCGAUGCCAAUACCAAUGACGAUGGUGAUGCAGAUCAUGAUGCAGAUGGUGAUGCACGUGCUGAUGCAGGUGCUGAUGCUGAGGCAGGUGCUGAUGCAGAUAAUGAUGCAGAUGCUGAUGCAGGUGCUGGUGCUGAUGCUGAGGCAGAUAUGAUGCAGAUGCUGGUGCAAAUGCUGAAGCAGGUGUUGAUGCAGAUACUAAUCUGACGCAGCUGCUGAUGUUAAAGCAGGUGUUGAUGCUGAUGCAGGUACCGAUGCUGAAGCAGGUGUUGAUGCAGGUGCUGAAAAAGGUGUUGGUGCAGGUGCAGAUGCUGAUGCUGGUAGUAAUGCUGAUGCAGGCGCUGAUGCUGAUGCAGGAAUGAGUUUGAUUUGAGAAGCGGAUUCCUUCUCCCCGGGAAAGGCACAAAGUUUUCUUUCCAAGUGCAGGUUGAAACUAACUCCUGGUGAAGAAGCUCACGGCACCAUCCAGCAUGGCACCGUCUGGGAGUCGUUUUUGAUUAGAAGUUGACCUCAGAAAUAUGCUCACAUCAUUUUGAAAGCAUCUUCCAGCACCACAGAAAUCGACUCAGAUGGAGAAAGGACACUGAGUGGACAGGGGCCAGGAUGGGGCGUGGACGCUCUGCCUCUGCCGGGGACAAGGCCUUCCCACAGACUCCCUGGGGUGUUGCCAGCCUGAGUCAGAGAUAUUGAUGUAAUGCCUACCGUGUUCCAGACACGCUGCGAGGCCCUGGGGAUGCAGCCACAAUCCCAACAGAUCUGAUGCCUGCUCUCAUGGAACUGACUUUGCACUGGGGGGAGGCCAACUCCACGAAAACAGAAACUGGAUGACACAUUGGAGGGAGAGCAGUAAAAGGAGCAAGCAGAGAGCAAGAACAACAGUGUUGCCAUGGGGCGGGUGGGCCCGCUGUAGCCAGGGAGGGCCUCUCCGAAGGUAUAACAGUGCCUUGCUGAAUUCACUCCCACGACCCCUCCAUGCUUGGGUCAGGAUGCAUGAACCUGAAAGCACAUGAAGUCCUCUCUGGGAUCUUCUGCCUUUGGUCCUAACUGUUCUCAGGGGGAAGCGACUCUGAAGGCCAAGAGAGUCAACUCCAGAAGAAAACCCCUACUAGAUGCAAGAAGAAUGGGCAUCGCUAACCAGCCCGUUUGCUGAUGUAUGGCCCCUAUACUUUCGUUGGUUUCCUGGUUUCUCUUUGCAGGCAAUUAUUUAACCCUGUGAUGGAACAAAGCAGCCAGGAAGCAGUAGGGUUGGCCGUGGGUUGGGGCUGGAGUCUUAGCAGUCAGCCUGGAGGAGCUGCGGGCUCAUGUCAGCACUCUGGGAGAAAUGAGCAAGCUUUUGGGAGGAGGAAGGCAAAUCCAUCCUCACCCGGGCUGUGAGCAUGCCACUGGGCUCGAGGCGAAUGGGGAGGAAAUCAAAGUGUCAGCUCGUGUUAGGAAACCGCACAUGAUGCUUCCCAGUCCUGGCCGUGCUUUUAAAAAUUAGCCAAAUAAAAAUGGUUGAAG